AGCGAACGCUGGCGGCAGGCCUAACACAUGCAAGUCGAACGAACCUUUCGGGGUUAGUGGCGGACGGGUGAGUAACACGUGGGAACGUGCCUUUAGGUUCGGAAUAACUCAGGGAAACUUGUGCUAAUACCGAAUGUGCCCUUCGGGGGAAAGAUUAAUCGCCUUUAGAGCGGCCCGCGUCUGAUUAGCUAGUUGGUUGAGGUAAUGGCUCACCAAGGCGACGAUCAGUAGCUGGUCUGAGAGGAUGAUCAGCCACAUUGGGACUGAGACACGGCCCAAACCCCCACGGGAGGCAGCAGGGGGGAAUCUUGCGGAAUGGGCGAAAGGCUGACGGAACCAUGCCGCGUGGAUGAUGGAGGGCUUAGGAUUGUAAAAUUCUUUCACCGGGGACGAUAAUGACGGUACCCGGAGAAGAAGCCCCGGCUAACUUCGUG
rnacentral:rRNA from 1 species